GACGAACGCUGGCGGCGUGCUUAACACAUGCAAGUCGAACGGACCCCUUUGGGGGUUAGUGGCGAACGGGUGAGUAACACGUGGGUGGUCUGCCCUGCACUUUGGGAUAAGCCUGGGAAACUGGGUCUAAUACCGGAUAGGACUACGCACUGCAUGGUGUGUGGUGGAAAGCUUUUGCGGUGUGGGAUGGGCCCGCGGCCUAUCAGCUUGUUGGUGGGGUGAUGGCCUACCAAGGCGACGGCGGAUAGCCGGCCUGAGAGGGUGACCAGCCACACUGGGACUGAGAUACGGCCCAGACUCCUACGGGAGGCAGCAGUGGGGAAUAUUGCACAAUGGGCGCAAGCCUGAUGCAGCGACGCCGCGUGAGGGAUGACGGCCUUCGGGUUGUAAACCUCUUUCGCCAGGGACGAAGCGCAAGUGACGGUACCUGGAGAAGAAGGACCGGCCAACUACGUGCCAGCAGCCGCGGUAA
rnacentral:rRNA from 1 species